CCUACGGGGGGCAGCAGUGGGGAAUAUUGGACAAUGGGGGCAACCCUGAUCCAGCCAUGCCGCGUGUGUGAAGAAGGCCCUCGGGUUGUAAAGCACUUUCAGUGAGGAAGAACGCCUGGUGGUUAAUACCCAUCAGGAAAGACAUCACUCACAGAAGAAGCACCGGCUAACUCCGUGCCAGCAGCCGCGGUAAUACGGAGGGCGCGAGCGUUAAUCGGAAUUACUGGGCGUAAAGCGCGCGUAGGUGGCUUGAUAAGCCGGUUGUGAAAGCCCCGGGCUCAACCUGGGAACGGCAUCCGGAACUGUCAAGCUAGAGUGCAGGAGAGGAAGGUAGAAUUCCCGGUGUAGCGGUGAAAUGCGUAGAGAUCGGGAGGAAUACCAGUGGCGAAGGCGGCCUUCUGGACUGACACUGACACUGAGGUGCGAAAGCGUGGGUAGCAAACAGGAUUAGAUAGCCUGGUAGUC
rnacentral:rRNA from 1 species